rnacentral:tRNA from 1 species
CGGGGUAUAGCUCAGUGGUAGAAUGCUGUGUUUAGCACGCACAAGGUCCUGGGUUCAAUCCCCAGUACCACCG